UAAAAUUAUGUAAGUACUUUAAUUUUGAAAAUGGUCAUUUGGUAAUCUUACCCAACAAUUCAUUUUAGCCCAUCAUUUUGAGUGAUUUUUGGACAAAAUUUUUGGACAAAAGUGAAUCAUCAAAGGGCUAAAAUGACUUUUGUGCAAAAUUAUUCAAAUAUUUUUGUAAAGUUAUCUGACUAAAAUAAUCAAUUUCAAACUUAAAGAAUCAAAAUGAUUUUUGGACAAUGUUAGUGCCUAAAUUGUAUUUUAGGCAGUAGGGAUUAUUCUGCUCCGUGACGUACCUUCUGCCUUUUCUUUUGAAUGAAUUCAUACAAUAAAAUUUUUUUAAAAUAUAUAUAGUACCCAAAAAGAGUAAACAGAUUACCGUCCAUCUAAAAAAAAGUGAUCACCGUCACCGCCCUUGUAAAUCCGAUUAUUUUUCUUGAUUGGUUAGCGAGAAACAGAGAGAAAACAGAGAAAAAGAAAGAAAGUUAGUUCUGGAUAAAAGAUUGAGGCUCUUGAAUUGGGUUGCCAGAUAAGUCCUCCUUUUGUUCUGUUUGUCGGAUCUUCGUCUUGGUGAGCUAUUAUUAUUAUUGCAGAGCACAAGAAGUGAAAGGUGAGGGAGUCUUCUUCUUCUUCUUCUUCUUCUUUUUUCUUGAGUUUUCUCGGCUACCAAACGCAGCAUGAUCUGAUGAUCAAGAGGCGUUUUGAAUUUAAAGUUCUGCUCUUUGUGCUGGAAGGUUGUUGUUCCACAACAAUCUAGAUGCUGAUGUUGACUACAAAUACUGUUGCCACCUUGCCUCAGUUACCACUAGAACUUCAAUGGAAAAAGGAGGUCACUUAAGAUUGCUGAACCUUGAUGGCUAGGUAUUGGUGCCCAAUUUUUUACUAUUAAUAAUAGAAGACGUAUCUUGCAUUCUAGCCAUAUGCAGUCUGCUUCUGAUAUAUGUCAUUUCGCUUGGCAAGGAUUUGGCCACAACUCAAUGAUGGUGGGACUUUGGAUUACCACCCAGUGGUGAUGGUCAUGGUGAUGGUUGUGGUGGAGGUAACUGGUCAAGUGGAUUAAUUAAUUCUUUACGGAUAAGGAAAGUGAGAUGCCUUAUAGUUACAAGAGGAGAAAAUGAAAGAAUGAUCGAUUUAUAUAUAUAUAUAUAUAUAUAUAUAUAUAUAAUUAGAUAACUGGUACUAAUAACGUUCUUUGUACGGAUUGGGGAAUGUCCUCAAUUGUUUUUGUUCAGAUCUGGAAACCAGAUACAUCAUCCACAAGAGCCUCUACUACCAGAGACAUAAGACUCUCUUUUCAAGCUAUAGUAUCUAAGAACCUUAGCAUACAAUGUUGUCAAAUUUUGUUCCAUAUUUCUAAUGUGGAAUUUUCCAUUUUUCUUUUGUGGGAGAGAAGAAAUCAUUAUAGGAGUCUGUUUCC